UUAAGUUAGAAAGGGCGCAUGGUGGAUGCCUUGACACUAGGAGUCGAUGAAGGACGGGACUAACGCCGAUAUGCUUCGGGGAGCUGUAAGUAAGCUUUGAUCCGAAGAUUUCCGAAUGGGGUAACCCACCAUACGUAAUGGUAUGGUAUCCUUAUCUGAAUACAUAGGGUAAGGAAGACAGACCCAGGGAACUGAAACAUCUAAGUACCUGGAGGAAGAGAAAGCAAAUGCGAUUUCCUGAGUAGCGGCGAGCGAAACGGAACAUAGCCCAAACCAAGAGGCUUGCCUCUUGGGGUUGUAGGACAUUCUAUACGGAGUUACAAAGGAACGAGGUAGACGAAGCGACCUGGAAAGGUCCGUCGUAGAGGGUAACAACCCCGUAGUCGAAACUUCGUUCUCUCUUGAAUGUAUCCUGAGUACGGCGGAACACGUGAAAUUCCGUCGGAAUCUGGGAGGACCAUCUCCCAAGGCUAAAUACUCCCUAGUGAUCGAUAGUGAACCAGUACCGUGAGGGAAAGGUGAAAAGCACCCCGGAAGGGGAGUGAAAGAGAUCCUGAAACCGUGUGCCUACAAAUAGUCAGAGCCCGUUAACGGGUGAUGGCGUGCCUUUUGUAGAAUGAACCGGCGAGUUACGAUCCCGUGCGAGGUUAAGCUGAAGAGGCGGAGCCGCAGCGAAAGCGAGUCUGAAUAGGGCGUUUAGUACGUGGUCGUAGACCCGAAACCAGGUGAUCUACCCAUGUCCAGGGUGAAGUUCAGGUAACACUGAAUGGAGGCCCGAACCCACGCACGUUGAAAAGUGCGGGGAUGAGGUGUGGGUAGCGGAGAAAUUCCAAUCGAACCUGGAGAUAGCUGGUUCUCCCCGAAAUAGCUUUAGGGCUAGCCUUAAGUGUAAGAGUCUUGGAGGUAGAGCACUGAUUGGACUAGGGGUCCUCAUCGGAUUACCGAAUUCAGUCAAACUCCGAAUGCCAAUGACUUAUCCUUAGGAGUCAGACUGCGAGUGAUAAGAUCCGUAGUCAAAAGGGAAACAGCCCAGACCGCCAGCUAAGGUCCCAAAGUGUGUAUUAAGUGGAAAAGGAUGUGGAGUUGCUUAGACAACUAGGAUGUUGGCUUAGAAGCAGCCACCAUUUAAAGAGUGCGUAAUAGCUCACUAGUCGAGUGACUCUGCGCCGAAAAUGUACCGGGGCUAAAUACACCACCGAAGCUGCGGAUUGAUACCAAUGGUAUCAGUGGUAGGGGAGCGUUCUAAGGACAGUGAAGUCAGACCGGAAGGACUGGUGGAGUGCUUAGAAGUGAGAAUGCCGGUAUGAGUAGCGAAAGACGGGUGAGAAUCCCGUCCACCGAAUGCCUAAGGUUUCCUGAGGAAGGCUCGUCCGCUCAGGGUUAGUCAGGACCUAAGCCGAGGCCGACAGGCGUAGGCGAUGGACAACAGGUUGAUAUUCCUGUACCACCUCUUUAUCGUUUGAGCAAUGGAGGGACGCAGAAGGAUAGAAGAAGCGUGCGAUUGGUUGUGCACGUCCAAGCAGUUAGGCUGAUAAGUAGGCAAAUCCGCUUAUCGUGAAGGCUGAGCUGUGAUGGGGAAGCUCCUUAUGGAGCGAAGUCUUUGAUUCCCCGCUGCCAAGAAAAGCUUCUAGCGAGAUAAAAGGUGCCUGUACCGCAAACCGACACAGGUAGGCGAGGAGAGAAUCCUAAGGUGUGCGAGAGAACUCUGGUUAAGGAACUCGGCAAAAUGACCCCGUAACUUCGGGAGAAGGGGUGCUUUCUUAACGGAAAGCCGCAGUGAAUAGGCCCAAGCGACUGUUUAGCAAAAACACAGGUCUCUGCGAAGCCGUAAGGCGAAGUAUAGGGGCUGACACCUGCCCGGUGCUGGAAGGUUAAGGAGAGGGGUUAGCGUAAGCGAAGCUCUGGACUGAAGCCCCAGUAAACGGCGGCCGUAACUAUAACGGUCCUAAGGUAGCGAAAUUCCUUGUCGGGUAAGUUCCGACCCGCACGAAAGGUGUAACGAUUUGGGCACUGUCUCAACCAGAGACUCGGUGAAAUUAUAGUACCUGUGAAGAUGCAGGUUACCCGCGACAGGACGGAAAGACCCCGUGGAGCUUUACUGUAGCCUGAUAUUGAAUUUUGGUACAGUUUGUACAGGAUAGGCGGGAGCCAUUGAAACCGGAGCGCUAGCUUCGGUGGAGGCGCUGGUGGGAUACCGCCCUGACUGUAUUGAAAUUCUAACCUACGGGUCUUAUCGACCCGGGAGACAGUGUCAGGUGGGCAGUUUGACUGGGGCGGUCGCCUCCUAAAGUGUAACGGAGGCGCCCAAAGGUUCCCUCAGAAUGGUUGGAAAUCAUUCGUAGAGUGCAAAGGCAUAAGGGAGCUUGACUGCGAGACCUACAAGUCGAGCAGGGACGAAAGUCGGGCUUAGUGAUCCGGUGGUUCCGCAUGGAAGGGCCAUCGCUCAACGGAUAAAAGCUACCCCGGGGAUAAUAGGCUUAUCUCCCCCAAGAGUCCACAUCGACGGGGAGGUUUGGCACCUCGAUGUCGGCUCAUCGCAUCCUGGGGCUGUAGUCGGUCCCAAGGGUUGGGCUGUUCGCCCAUUAAAGCGGUACGCGAGCUGGGUUCAGAACGUCGUGAGACAGUUCGGUCCCUAUCCGUCGUGGGCGUAGGAAAUUUGAGAGGAGCUGUCCUUAGUACGAGAGGACCGGGAUGGACGCACCGCUGGUGUACCAGUUGUUCUGCCAAGGGCAUAGCUGGGUAGCUAUGUGCGGAAGGGAUAAGUGCUGAAAGCAUCUAAGCAUGAAGCCCCCCUCAAGAUGAGAUUUCCCAUAGCGUAAGCUAGUAAGAUCCCUGAAAGAUGAUCAGGUUGAUAGGUUCGAGGUGGAAGCAUGGUGACAUGUGGAGCUGACGAAUACUAAUAGAUCGAGGACUUAACCAU
rnacentral:rRNA from 1 species